rnacentral:rRNA from 1 species
UAAUGCCUAGGAAUCUGCCUGGUAGUGGGGGACAACGUUUCGAAAGGAACGCUAAUACCGCAUACGUCCUACGGGAGAAAGCAGGGACCUUCGGGCCUUGCGCUAUCAGAUGAGCCUAGGUCGGAUUAGCUAGUUGGUGAGGUAAUGGCUCACCAAGGCGACGAUCCGUAACUGGUCUGAGAGGAUGAUCAGUCACACUGGAACUGAGACACGGUCCAGACUCCUACGGGAGGCAGCAGUGGGGAAUAUUGGACAAUGGGCGAAAGCCUGAUCCAGCCAUGCCGCGUGUGUGAAGAAGGUCUUCGGAUUGUAAAGCACUUUAAGUUGGGAGGAAGGGCAGUAAGUUAAUACCUUGCUGUUUUGACGUUACCGACAGAAUAAGCACCGGCUAACUCUGUGCCAGCAGCCGCGGUAAUACAGAGGGUGCAAGCGUUAAUCGGAAUUACUGGGCGUAAAGCGCGCGUAGUGGUUCGUUAAGUUGGAUGUGAAAGCCCCGGGCUCAACCUGGGAACUGCAUCCAAAACUGGCGAGCUAGAGUACGGUAGAGGGUGGUGGAAUUUCCUGUGUAGCGGUGAAAUGCGUAGAUAUAGGAAGGAACACCAGUGGCGAAGGCGACCACCUGGACUGAUACUGACACUGAGGUGCGAAAGCGUGGGGAGCAAACAGGAUUAGAUACCUGGUAGUCCACGCCGUAA